GGAGGCUUACCCAAGCGGUUGAAGGGACCGGUCUUGAAAACCGGAAGGAGUUAACAGCUCGCCAGGGUUCGAAUCCCUGAGCCUCCGCCA
rnacentral:tRNA from 1 species